ensembl:lncRNA
UCAGGCCACGUCUGUCCGAUCACAGGAGCAAACGCUGGUAUUACAGAGAUAUCUAAUAAAGGACAUACACACAGACUGUGCUGCUGCUUCGAGAGUCUUUCGGCAAAACCAUUAAGAGUCGUGAAGGCAUUUGAAAACAUCACCUUAGCCUGCUUUACCCCGAGGCUAAAAGAUUCCUUGUUGACAUCAAUAUUAAUGUUUUCUGUAAUGUCAUUAAAACAAUAUCCUUCAUGUAGUGCUCAGUGCACUGUUGUUUUUGUUGCUGCUGUUGCUGCUAAAGUUAUGGUUGCACGCAUACGAUCAUGCAUGCGUGUAUCCCUUUGCAAACUUUAGUCGGACGUUAUAACAAACUUUUAUGACAUCCGACCGUUUUUUGCUCUUAAAUGUGUUAGAGUUGGCCAGUGUUAUUUGACUGGCUCAGGGGCAGAGCCCAACGGUUUGACCCACUUACAGAAACGGCAUCCUUUCAACAUAUUUUUGAAGAAAUGUCAGCAUUAUUUACCAGGACAUGAUUAUAUUAGCCCAAAACUGCCAAAAAUACAAAAGUUGCCUUCUGGCUGCAUGGUGUGAUUACUAAAACAACAUUGUUGCAUUUGUUUGUGCAUAUACAGGGGAAGGCCAAUUAUGUUAUAUUUGUAAUGAUUUACUUUGUUUGCAAUGGAAUACUAAUAUACUGUGCUUAUUAUUUCUGUAGAAUGCAUUAUGUGUACUGUUAUUCAUGGAAUACCCAGAUGACCUAGGCUACUGCAUUUUGCCAAAUAUGCAGUAUGCAACAACAGCAGGCUGCAUGGAGUAAAACUGUAUCUGUGAACUGUAAACUGUAUGCAUGUAACUGUAAACUGUAUGUACUAUAUUGCAAAUUUUAUGGUGCCCAUCAAACUGAAAGUGUUUGCUGAAUUAAAAAUGCAGUAUAUCUAGUUUGUGACUACAGUUUACACUACUACCGAUUGAAAUGCUUGUCAUUGCAUAGAGCACACUGUUUCAAAACACUAUUAAAUGCAUAAAAAGUGUGUGUUAUGCAUAAAGCAUACAGAAGGCAUUAUUCUAGUAGUCCAUUCUGAACGUAAGAAAUAGCCAAAUCUACUGCUGUGAGUGCAAUCAUUCAGUAAGGUGUGUGUCAGGACAGGCGAUGCAGUGAACAGGUUAUCAUUUUUCUGUGUCUAACUGAAUAAGUGAUAUGCAAGAUUUAUAAUAAAGGUUUUUAACAGGCAAGCCA